rnacentral:sRNA from 1 species
ACGAGACGGAGGGGCCGAUCGGCGAGUGCGACCGAUAAAGUGUUCUCGGACGACACCGGGCGCAGCUCCCGAUUCGUCCGCCAAUGAUCAGCCAGCAGCCGCUGCAACCACAGGGAG